UCUUACGGAUGAGCAAAGAAAGUGGUUUCUUGAGAUAGAAGCUAUUUCUGGUGAAGAUUUUGUAAA
rnacentral:pre_miRNA from 1 species